CGGACGGCGGAGUAAUACAUAAGCAACGUGCCCCAAAGUCUGGGAUAUACGGCCGAAAGGCCGGGCAAUACCGGAUGUGUCGGAAGUUUGGCAUCAAAUUUCCAGUAAAUGGUUUUUCGCUUUGGGAGCGGCUUAUGGCCUAUCAGGUAGUUGGCGGGGUAACGGCCCACCAAGCCGACGACGGGUAGCGGGUCUGAGAGGAUGGUCCGCUCGAGUGGGACUGAGACACGGCCCACACACCUACGGGUGGCAGCAGUUGGGAAUCUUGCACAAUGGGGGAAACCCUGAUGCAGCGACGCCGCGUGGAGGACGAAGGGUUUAGGCCUGUAAACUCCUUUUGCCAGGAAAGACUUAGGACGGUACCUGGUGAAUAAGGACCGGCUAACUACGUGCCAGCAGCCGCGGUAAGACGUAGGGUCCAAGCGUUGUCCGGAUUUACUGGGCGUAAAGAGCGCGUAGGCGGCUCGUCAAGUGUAGAGUGAAAUCUCUGGGCUCACCCCAGAAACUGCUCUGCAUACUGGCGAGCUAGAGGGUCGAAGAGGUAUGUGGAAUUCCCGGUGUAGCGGUGAAAUGCGUUGAUAUCGGGAGGAACACCCAUGGCGAAGGCAGCAUACUGGUCGGCAUCUGACGCUGAGGCGCGAAAGCGUGGGUAGCAAACAGGAUUAGAUACCCUGGUAGUCCACGCCCUAAACGAUGGAUACUAGGCGUAGGAGGUAUCGACCCCUCCUGUGCCGCAGCUAACGCACUAAGUAUCCCGCCUGGGGAGUA
rnacentral:rRNA from 1 species